UAGACACUGGGCCGCUGGCCAGCAGACACAUAUGCUUCAGCUCAGUACAGUCUGUCCAUAGACCUUCUCUGCUGACUGUUCAAUCAUUAGCCAGGAAAAGUAAGAGACUAAGAAAGACCGGGAGAUAAAAAGACAUGGAGAAAAGUGCUAUGGCGGUACAGUAAGAAGAGAGAGAGGGAAAAGGACAGAUUGAGAGGAAACUUCUCAAAAGUAAUACAUGGAUCUACAGGGCAUCCUUCUAGGGUUCACCGACCCACCAGCAGGGGUUCAGAUAUACAAGAACAAGUAUUCUCAAUGUACACUGAAACAAAAGAAAUUGCCACAUUUCACCUGCCUGUGAUCCAAGAGAGGUCCAGUGAAGAGACAAAAUCCAGGAAACACUGCUGAACACACAGCUUGUAUAAUCUCCACAGAAAACACUGACAACAGGACGGGACACUCAGGAGGAGCCUAAGGGCACAAUGCAAUUGGGUAUUGGGCUGUGGAGCAGUGGAUUAAUGGAGCACCACUGACUGCUUCUGGGAUGUUCUGCUUGUGGCAUUUCUGAUCCAGAUCCCUACUACUCUAAUAUCGACAUAGGACAGCAACAAAGCCACUAAGGGAAAGGUGUUUUAAGGUUUGUUUAAAGGUGUAUUACAUUAAUCAUAGCAAAGGAAGCCUCCACUUCUCUGGCGUUUCCUGAACUAUGAUUCAGUGCUGUAGGUUAUGUCAUUCUGUCAGGUCACAUUAGGUCAAUAAGAUUUAAAAGUGGCACAUGUAGUUUAACAGACAUUGUGACAGAACCCACAUAUGUCCAAGGACUGAAUAUGGUCAAUAUCCAUGUACAUUUAUUAACUGCAUAAGUAAAGAGUGAUUAUGACAGUCCGCUCUGACCGGCAGGUUCUCUGCUAAACGUAUGCCAGGAGUGACUUUCAGUGCAUUCAUUGCAGAGCCCCCCGAUCAGCUGCGGACUUUCAAUGAUUCAGCAUUUACUCCAUGCCAGGAAAGAGAGCGUGAGGUGUGAGUUGUGCUGUGUGCCUGCACAUGAUGUACAUGCAAGUCAUUUGUGGACAUGCACUCAUUGACAGCUGUCACAGCAAUUAAUACAACUGAGACCUAUACAUCUGUCAUAAAGCUGCAAUUCAGAAUACAGUUCAUAAUCUUUCCUCUUAACUCAAAUGUGCCAUCAACAAUACAGAGUUUAUAGAGUGAUUCCAAGAAAGUCAUAUCAGCAAAUACACACAGGAGGACAUCAGCACAUUGGUAUGCCAGGUCUGUAACAAGAGUGACCAGCUACUCCAGAAUGUCUGUUUUUAUUACCAAAAUAGCUGCAUGAACACACAUUUAC